GAAGAGGGCGUGAACCAAAAAAAAAAAGUUAGAUUUCUUGAUUUUGGUCACUUGGACCAAAUUUGGGUUCGCUGUAUUAUCGUCCGAUUUUUGUUAAAAAUCAAACUUGAAAAUGCCAGGAAAUGUCUAUGAAUUUCGGGAAAUGUGGGAUUCAGUUUUGGAAAAUUUGUUUUGGAACUGCUGUGGAAGGUAGUCUGCAAACACACAUUUGGCUUUUCAUAACAGUUCAUAUUUUGUUUUUCUUGACAACGACGUCCCUCGAAUAAUAAUAAUUUUUGUUCGGCUUGACGUUCGUUCGAAGAUAUUAUACAUCUUGCAUUUUCAGGAGGGAAGUAGAGGAACAGCAUUUACAUAGAAUGAAAUCAGAUUGACGUGGACACGCCCAUCAGCCCCUCAUCAAAUCUAUACAUCAGACUUUGUCUCCCUAUCCUGACAGUGGUUGUACUCACUGUGAACUGUGGUGUUCCAAAUCCUCAUCAGAUAUGCCGGACAACAAGAACCAAUUCAAGGAGGUGCUCCCGAAACAAGGACUUGUCUAUCAGGAGGAGCAACCAACCUUGGUCCUUUGCAAACCAAAACUUCUUCCACUGAAGUCAGUGACACUAGAGAAGAUGGAGAAGAUGCAGAAAGAUGCACAGGACAAGGUCCAGGAGCAGGAGAUGGCAGAGAGGUUACAGCAGUCUCAAGGAAUGAGUGGAUUCUGAGAUCAAUGGACAUUGCCUUAGCAGGAGUCAUGGGGAUGGAGAGCGCCCCACCCCCAUAAAAACUGUUCCACUGCAAUACUUUUUCUAGAAAAAUGCACUGUAAUUUUUAACUCAUUUUGUUAAUUACCAUGUUGCAUGGUCUAACCACCACAUCACUGUAUUCAUGAGUUGAAACAAUUAUGAGUCUGUGGUCAUUGAAACAAUCAACUUCUGAUAUCAGUACAUAUCCAUCAUUAGCAAGUAGAAAUUAAUAAAAAAUAUUUACCUGACCAAUUGUAAAAAGCACAGAUAAAAUACAGCAAAGAAACAUAUACAGUUGUAGACUUGUAGCAACUACAAAUGUGCUAGAUAAGUAGAGAAUUGUGUUUAUAUGACAAUGCAUUACAAAAAUGCAAACAGCAGGUGGUUCACUUCCAAUGCAUGUUGAAUCUGUAUGCAGCAGAAGGUUCUUGAAAGUAAAACAAAAUUAUGAGACGGGAACAAGUACAAUUAUUUUCUGUUCUUAGUGAUUGUUUCUUUUGUCCAGUUGCUCAAAACAGCGUUGUUAGAUAAUGUGUGGUCAUUGAAACAUAGACCAUUCAAAUAAUGAUAAGGUUUAUGAUCUUUGAUAUAUUUUCAAGAAUCCUUCCCUUUUUCUGAUACACCCAGUAGUAGAGCAUAUUGAUUUAAAACAGAUAUAUAAUGACUUGAUGGAUGAUGCCUAUAUCCUUUACUUUAUGCAGUUUAUUUGCUAUUCUUUUUAAAACUUGUCCUGAAGUUUGAAUGUCAAUAUGACAUUUUAUUUUGUUUUCCUAUGCAUUUGCCAGUGAAAUAUUUUCAGCUUUGAAUUGUAGUUUUACCUGGGGUAUCUUCGAUGAAACUACUCCAUAAUACAUAGAAAAAAAGUGAAGUAGAGCUGCUUCAUUUUUUCCCCUUUAAAUUUGUAAACCACAUUCAUUUUUUGUUAGUCUCAUGUUCAUGCUGUAAUUUCAGGAUUGCAAUUGUGCAACAAGGAGAGAAAUUCAAAAAAUAAGAAGAAGGUCUUAUUUUAAUUUCAUUCUGUAGAGUACUUUAAGUUAGCCUGCCAUUAUUUUCAGAAAUAUCCAGUCAAUAUUGAUUUUAAAAUAUAGUAUUAUUUUGCUAAUCCUUUUUAUUUGUUUUUCAAAGCAUCUUCGGUUCUUGAUUUCCAUUCUAAAAAAAUGUAUACUGUUAAGUUAAACUUGUCAGUGUCAUUAUGUAUGGAAGUUACAGGGCAUUGAAAACAACAUCAAGUUGAUUUACAUUGUAAGUAGAUAGUGAAAAAUCAAACAGGCAUAAUGCUUGCAAUUUCGUCAAAAUCAGUUAAAGUUUUGCUUGAUUUUACAAUAUGUAUAUCAGGGGUGGAAUACAAAUAAGGAACAGUUGCUGUCUCGCAUUAAGUGCAUUUAUUUCUUAUAAUGAAAUAUAUUAUUUUUCAUGUGUUUCCUUCUUAUAUUUGUAAACCAUGAUUUGACUUUGACUCUAUGGCUUGAACAUGUUAAAUGCCCCAGACUUAAAUAAUCAAGGGGGGGGGGCAAGCAGGCCUCCCCCAAUCCAUAUUUUUCAUUGUAUGGAAAAUGCUCUCUGUGAGUGAUGAUCAUGUUGGGUUUUUUUUCCUCAAAACAGAAGGGGGGAAUUGCCCCACCCCUGGUAAUAAUAAUGAUAAUAAUAAUAGCGGUAUAUUUACCCAGGGUAGCCGCUUCAGUUCCGAAAACUGUUCUCCCAGCGGGCCCUGCUAUUAAAUUCUGGAUCUGUCCAUUCAAUGACCUUUAAUGUAACUUCUACAAAUCAUUCAAAUGUUGUUUUUUUUGUGAUCAAAUCUACAAAACCUGAAAUGGUCUGUAUAUCAUUUAAUAACUUAAAAACAAAAUAUUGAAAGUGUGACAUCAUCAACUCUCAUUUAUUUCACCUUUUAAUCAAUUCAAGCUGAAUGGAAUUGAGUUUGAGAUUUCAGGUGCAGUAAACAUAUAUGAUUGUGUUACAAAAAAUUUCCCUCUUAUAUUUGUAGAUAAUAAUGUAUGGUUUUAAGUGAGCAGUAAUGUAGCUUAUUUAUUUAUUUAUUUGUUCUCUUCUGGGAACUAAUGAAGAUGUGAAUUAGAUGAUAGUGUGAAAAGAAAAUGAUCAAGAAUACAA